rnacentral:misc_RNA from 1 species
UGGUUCUGGCAUCGAUGAAGAACGCAGCGAAAUGCGAUAAGUAGUGUGAAUUGCAGAAUUCAGUGAAUCAUCGAAUCUUUGAACGCACAUUGCGCCCCUUGGUAUUCCAUGGGGCAUGCCUGUUCGAGCGUCAUAUACAUCUUCAAGCACUGCUUGGUGUUGGGCGUUGUCUUGCGACUCGCCUUAAAUCUAUUGGCAGCCGGCGUCUGGCAGAGCGCAGCACAUUGUACUCUGUCCGUCCACCGCCAUCCAUAAGAAACCUCAGUUUGACCUCGGAUCAGGUAGGGAUACCCGCUGA